rnacentral:rRNA from 1 species
CCCGCUCGCCGGAAGACCAAGGGUUCCUGUCCAACGUUAAUCGGGGCAGGGUGAGUCGACCCCUAAGGCGAGGCCGAAAGGCGUAGUCGAUGGGAAACAGGUUAAUAUUCCUGUACUUGGUGUUACUGCGAAGGGGGGACGGAGAAGGCUAUGUUGGCCGGGCGACGGUUGUCCCGGUUUAAGCGUGUAGGCUGGUUUUCCAGGCAAAUCCGGAAAAUCAAGGCUGAGGCGUGAUGACGAGGCACUACGGUGCUGAAGCAACAAAUGCCCUGCUUCCAGGAAAAGCCUCUAAGCAUCAGGUAACAUCAAAUCGUACCCCAAACCGACACAGGUGGUCAGGUAGAGAAUACCAAGGCGCUUGAGAGAACUCGGGUGAAGGAACUAGGCAAAAUGGUGCCGUAACUUCGGGAGAAGGCACGCUGAUAUGUAGGUGAAGCGACUUGCUCGUGGAGCUGAAAUCAGUCGAAGAUACCAGCUGGCUGCAACUGUUUAUUAAAAACACAGCACUGUGCAAACACGAAAGUGGACGUAUACGGUGUGACGCCUGCCCGGUGCCGGAAGGUUAAUUGAUGGGGUCAGCGCAAGCGAAGCUCUUGAUCGAAGCCCCGGUAAACGGCGGCCGUAACUAUAACGGUCCUAAGGUAGCGAAAUUCCUUGUCGGGUAAGUUCCGACCUGCACGAAUGGCGUAAUGAUGGCCAGGCUGUCUCCACCCGAGACUCAGUGAAAUUGAACUCGCUGUGAAGAUGCAGUGUACCCGCGGCAAGACGGAAAGACCCCGUGAACCUUUACUAUAGCUUGACACUGAACAUUGAGCCUUGAUGUGUAGGAUAGGUGGGAGGCUUUGAAGUGUGGACGCCAGUCUGCAUGGAGCCGACCUUGAAAUACCACCCUUUAAUGUUUGAUGUUCUAACGUGGACCCGUGAUCCGGGUUGCGGACAGUGUCUGGUGGGUAGUUUGACUGGGGCGGUCUCCUCCUAAAGAGUAACGGAGGAGCACGAAGGUUGGCUAAUCCUGGUCGGACAUCAGGAGGUUAGUGCAAUGGCAUAAGCCAGCUUGACUGCGAGCGUGACGGCGCGAGCAGGUGCGAAAGCAGGUCAUAGUGAUCCGGUGGUUCUGAAUGGAAGGGCCAUCGCUCAACGGAUAAAAGGUACUCCGGGGAUAACAGGCUGAUACCGCCCAAGAGUUCAUAUCGACGGCGGUGUUUGGCACCUCGAUGUCGGCUCAUCACAUCCUGGGGCUGAAGUAGGUCCCAAGGGUAUGGCUGUUCGCCAUUUAAAGUGGUACGCGAGCUGGGUUUAGAACGUCGUGAGACAGUUCGGUCCCUAUCUGCCGUGGGCGCUGGAGAACUGAGGGGGGCUGCUCCUAGUACGAGAGGACCGGAGUGGACGCAUCACUGGUGUUCGGGUUGUCAUGCCAAUGGCACUGCCCGGUAGCUAAAUGCGGAAGAGAUAAGUGCUGAAAGCAUCUAAGCACGAAACUUGCCCCGAGAUGAGUUCUCCCUGACUCCUUGAGAGUCCUGAAGGAACGUUGAAGACGACGACGUUGAUAGGCCGGGUGUGUAAGCGCAGCGAUGCGUUGAGCUAACCGGUACUAAUGAACCGUGAGGCUUAACCUUACAACGCCGAAGGUGUUU